rnacentral:rRNA from 1 species
ACCCGCUGAACUUAAGCAUAUCAAUAAGCGGAGGAAAAGAAACCAACAGGGAUUGCCUUAGUAACGGCGAGUGAAGCGGCAAUAGCUCAAAUUUGAAAUCUGGCGUCUUUGGACGUCCGAGUUGUAAUUUGUAGAGGAUGUUUCGGUAUUAGCUCCAGUCUAAGUCCCUUGGAACAGGGCGUCGCAGAGGGUGAGAAUCCCGUACGCGACUGGCUGCUUUCGCCAUGUGAAACUCCUUCGACGAGUCGAGUUGUUUGGGAAUGCAGCUCUAAUUGGGAGGUAAAUUUCUUCUAAAGCUAAAUACUGGCCAGAGACCGAUAGCGCACAAGUAGAGUGAUCGAAAGAUGAAAAGCACUUUGGAAAGAGAGUUAAAAAGUACGUGAAAUUGUUGAAAGGGAAGCGCUUGCAAUCAGACCUGCUUGCAGUUGUUCAUCUAGACUUUUGUCUAGUGCACUCUUCUGUGAGUCAGGCCAGUAUCGGUUUGGGCGGUUGGAUAAAGAUUUCAGGAAUGUAGCUCUCUUCGGGGAGUGUUAUAGCCUGUUUUGUAAUGCAACCAGCCCAGAUCGAGGACCGCGCUUCGGCUAGGAUACUGGCGUAAUGGUUGUAAGCGGCCCGUCUUGAAACACGG